UGGGGAAUAUUGCACAAUGGGCGCAAGCCUGAUGCAGCCAUGCCGCGUGUAUGAAGAAGGCCUUCGGGUUGUAAAGUACUUUCAGCGGGGAGGAAGGUGUUGUGGUUAAUAACCACAGCAAUUGACGUUACCCGCAGAAGAAGCACCGGCUAACUCCGUGCCAGCAGCCGCGGUAAUACGGAGGGUGCAAGCGUUAAUCGGAAUUACUGGGCGUAAAGCGCACGCAGGCGGUCUGUCAAGUCGGAUGUGAAAUCCCCGGGCUCAUCCUGGGAACUGCAUCCGAAACUGGCAGGCUUGAGUCUUGUAGAGGGGGGUAGAAUUCCAGGUGUAGCGGUGAAAUGCGUAGAGAUCUGGAGGAAUACCGGUGGCGAAGGCGGCCCCCUGGACAAAGACUGACGCUCAGGUGCGAAAGCGUGGGGAGCAAACA
rnacentral:rRNA from 1 species